UGAGCUCGAUGAGUAGGGCGGGACACGUGGUAUCCUGUCUGAAUAUGGGGGGACCAUCCUCCAAGGCUAAAUACUCCUGACUGACCGAUAGUGAACCAGUACCGUGAGGGAAAGGCGAAAAGAACCCCGGCGAGGGGAGUGAAAAAGAACCUGAAACCGUGUACGUACAAGCAGUGGGAGCACGCUUAGGCGUGUGACUGCGUACCUUUUGUAUAAUGGGUCAGCGACUUAUAUUCUGUAGCAAGGUUAACCGAAUAGGGGAGCCGAAGGGAAACCGAGUCUUAACUGGGCGUUAAGUUGCAGGGUAUAGACCCGAAACCCGGUGAUCUAGCCAUGGGCAGGUUGAAGGUUGGGUAACACUAACUGGAGGACCGAACCGACUAAUGUUGAAAAAUUAGCGGAUGACUUGUGGCUGGGGGUGAAAGGCCAAUCAAACCGGGAGAUAGCUGGUUCUCCCCGAAAGCUAUUUAGGUAGCGCCUCGUGAAUUCAUCUCCGGGGGUAGAGCACUGUUUCGGCAAGGGGGUCAUCCCGACUUACCAACCCGAUGCAAACUGCGAAUACCGGAGAAUGUUAUCACGGGAGACACACGGCGGGUGCUAACGUCCGUCGUGAAGAGGGAAACAACCCAGACCGCCAGCUAAGGUCCCAAAGUCAUGGUUAAGUGGGAAACGAUGUGGGAAGGCCCAGACAGCCAGGAUGUUGGCUUAGAAGCAGCCAUCAUUUAAAGAAAGCGUAAUAGCUCACUGGUCGAGUCGGCCUGCGCGGAAGAUGUAACGGGGCUAAACCAUGCACCGAAGCUGCGGCAGCGACGCUGAUGCGUUGUUGGGUAGGGGAGCGUUCUGUAAGCCUGUGAAGGUGUGCUGUGAGGCAUGCUGGAGGUAUCAGAAGUGCGAAUGCUGACAUAAGUAACGAUAAAGCGGGUGAAAAGCCCGCUCGCCGGAAGACCAAGGGUUCCUGUCCAACGUUAAUCGGGGCAGGGUGAGUCGACCCCUAAGGCGAGGCCGAAAGGCGUAGUCGAUGGGAAACAGGUUAAUAUUCCUGUACUUGGUGUUACUGCGAAGGGGGGACGGAGAAGGCUAUGUUGGCCGGGCGACGGUUGUCCCGGUUUAAGCGUGUAGGCUGGUUUUCCAGGCAAAUCCGGAAAAUCAAGGCUGAGGCGUGAUGACGAGGCACUACGGUGCUGAAGCAACAAAUGCCCUGCUUCCAGGAAAAGCCUCUAAGCAUCAGGUAACAUCAAAUCGUACCCCAAACCGACACAGGUGGUCAGGUAGAGAAUACCAAGGCGCUUGAGAGAACUCGGGUGAAGGAACUAGGCAAAAUGGUGCCGUAACUUCGGGAGAAGGCACGCUGAUAUGUAGGUGAAGCGACUUGCUCGUGGAGCUGAAAUCAGUCGAAGAUACCAGCUGGCUGCAACUGUUUAUUAAAAACACAGCACUGUGCAAACACGAAAGUGGACGUAUACGGUGUGACGCCUGCCCGGUGCCGGAAGGUUAAUUGAUGGGGUCAGCGCAAGCGAAGCUCUUGAUCGAAGCCCCGGUAAACGGC
rnacentral:rRNA from 1 species